AACCCAUUGAAAGGAGGUGAUCCAGUGUCAAGAAAGAUGGUGGAGAAUGCGGUCGGGACAACUUCGGGUGUCCACGUCUGAGGCAGCCCUUGGACGUUCUCAUCCGGGGUGGAUGCGUCUAACCGACCCCGCCUCCUGAACCUUUCGGAAGGCCGCUCCACACUAGGGGCGGCCU
rnacentral:misc_RNA from 1 species